UGCUUUUUUACUUAUCAACUAUUUCAAAGUAUGAAUUUUUAUAUUAUAAGUACACAUAUAUAUAUAAUUUAGCCAAUUAAGGUUAUAGCGCCUUACUUCAAAAAGGCCUUGCCUAAGGCCAUAGGGUAUUCUAUUGCCUUAGCCGCCUUUCGCCUUGAUAACACUGACUAAAAUACAAUAAGAACAUAUAUACUAAAUAGGAAAACUAAAUCCUAAAUAAAGUAGGAAAACAUUAAUAAGUCAUAAAUAGAGUAGGAGACUUCCUAAUUAAUUUUAAUAUAAUCUCUACAGCUGUUGGAAGUCUUCACAAGAUGUCCCAGAUAAAUUAGGACUGUUAGAAAUUAAAAUUAAUUAAAAAAAGAAGUUCUGCCUUGUUGUCCAGGCCUUGCAUCAUCAACUGGUUAGUGAGGCCAAUUUCAUUGAUUGUGUAUAUUUGAAUGUACCUAAAGCUGAUGCCUGAAUUUCAUUGUUUAUCUCUUGAAAGCAUUUCUUGCUUGCUUGUGCAUUUCAGGUCAUGAUACAGGCUUUAAGAGAAUCUGGUGUAUUCAGCUCUAUUAUUGCAUCUGCUCCAACAACUAUUUCAAAAGACAAGUUUUUAGCAUCAAUUGAUAAAAGCAACUCAUCCAGAGCUGUUGCCUCUGAAUCGCUACCAUCAAGAAAGAUGGGAAGAAACAGAGCGCAUCAGGCAGCAGCUAGAAAGGUUUUGGAUUUAGAAGCUAUUGAAUCUCAUGAAGCAGCUGUUCCUCCAUUGUCUCCUCCAGGAGCGAAUGACGACUUCCUUGUGGAAGCGUGAUCCAGAUUUUGGCAUGAUUGCUUCUUCUUCUCAUUCCUGUUCAUAUCGGUGUGAUCAUUUUCGUCUAAUUUGCUUUGAAGGGAAGAAUCAGGAGAGAAAAGAAAGAGCAAGCAGGCCUCUUGUUGCAGUAUGUGUUCAGUUCUGUUGGUUCUUCCCGAUCAUGAUCCAAGCGCUUGUGUACAGUCUUUAGGAGAGAUUUAUAGCCUGGUAACUUUAUGUCACGACUCAACCAGAAUACUCAACUUAUUAUUUUCAUGUAUAUAAACCACAGUGUUGACAGCCAAGGGUUGUAACGAUCAUUAGUUCAUUAUGUGGAAAUUCAAGAGAACAUCUGAUGGGAGUCUCUUGAGAGGAUAUUGUGUCAUCAACUUUUUGUAUUUGAGAGGAGGAUGUCUAUUUGAACCAACGUUAUUUUGUUUCUUUAAAGGUGCCAUAUGUGGUGCUCUGAUGAAGGAAGGCCCAAGCCAUUGAAGGCUUGGCUAGAACUUCAUACUGGCAUAACAAAAAUGAUGAGUUUCAAAUUAUAAAAUCACACAGAUAAGUGAUUCUGAUAAUAUUAUGAAUGAA
rnacentral:misc_RNA from 1 species